rnacentral:tRNA from 1 species
GUGGGUUGGCUCAGUGGUUAGAGUUUAAGCCUUGGGACCUGGAGGUCGCUGUUCGAAUCUCGUAAGAGACG